CUCUCUGAUUCAGCGGCGGACGGGUGAGUAAUGCCUGGGAAUCUGCCUGAUAGUGGGGGACAACAGUUGGAAACGGCUGCUAAUACCGCAUACGUCCUACGGGAGAAAGCAGGGGAUCUUCGGACCUUGCGCUAUCAGAUGAGCCCAGGUCGGAUUAGCUAGUAGGUGGGGUAAAGGCUCACCUAGGCGACGAUCCGUAACUGGUCUGAGAGGAUGAUCAGUCACACUGGAACUGAGACACGGUCCAGACUCCUACGGGAGGCAGCAGUGGGGAAUAUUGGACAAUGGGCGCAAGCCUGAUCCAGCCAUGCCGCGUGGUGUGAAGAAGGUCUUCGGAUUGUAAAGCACUUUAAGUUGGGAGGAAGGGUUGUAGAUUAAUACUCUGCAGCUUUGACGUUACCGACAGAAUAAGCACCGGCUAACUCUGUGCCAGCAGCCGCGGUAAUACAGAGGGUGCAAGCGUUAAUCGGAAUUACUGGGCGUAAAGCGCGCGUAGGUGGCUAAGU
rnacentral:rRNA from 1 species